AAGACGGGUGGAAGAAGGGGGGAAUAGGGGACAAGGGGCGAAAGCCUGAUCCAGCCAUGCCGCGUGUGUGAAGAAGGCCUUCGGGUGGUAAAGCACUUUCAGUGGGGAAGAAAGCCUUGGGGCUAAUACCCUCGAGGAAGGACAUCACCCACAGAAGAAGCACCGGCUAACUCCGUGCCAGCAGCCGCGGUAAUACGGGGGGUGCGAGCGUUAAUCGGAAUUACUGGGCGUAAAGCGCGCGUAGGCGGUCUGAUAAGCCGGUUGUGAAAGCCCCGGGCUCAACCUGGGAACGGCAUCCGGAACUGUCAGGCUAGAGUGCAGGAGAGGAAGGUAGAAUUCCCGGUGUAGCGGUGAAAUGCGUAGAGAUCGGGAGGAAUACCAGUGGCGAAGGCGGCCUUCUGGACUGACACUGACGCUGAGGUGCGAAAGCGUGGGUAGCAAACAGGAUUAGAUACCGUGUAGUC
rnacentral:rRNA from 1 species